AAGAUAUUAGUUUAAUAAAAAUGUUUGGUUUACAACCAAGAGUUAUAUAUCUUU
rnacentral:tRNA from 1 species